ACGGUGAUCGUCUAGUGAUUUAGGAUUCACCCUUCCCAUUGGUUUAACGACUCCAGUAAACCGGUUAGGGUGUGACACGGGUUCGAACCCCGUUCGCCGUA